UACGUAGGGUGCAAGCGUUGUCCGGAAUUAUUGGGCGUAAAGAGCUCGUAGGCGGUUUGUUGCGUCGGCUGUGAAAUCCCGAGGCUCAACCUCGGGUCUGCAGUCGAUACGAGCAAACUAGAGUGUUGCAGGGGAGACUGGAAUUCCUGGUGAUAGCGGUGAAAUGCGCAGAUAUCAGGAGGAACACCGGUGGCGAAGGCAGGUCUCUGGGCGAU
rnacentral:rRNA from 1 species